GCGAUCAUAGUUCAGUGGUAGAACAUCGGUUUGUGGUACCGAGUAUCAGGGUCCGAUUCCCUGUGAUCGCCCCU
rnacentral:tRNA from 1 species